CGCGAAAACUUUACAAUGCUGGAAACAGCGAUAAGGGGACCUCGAGUGCCAGGUUACAAAUCUGGCUGUCGUGAUGCCUAAAAAGCAUUGCAUAGCAAGGGCCGGGCAAGACCGGUGCCAGCCGCCGCGGUAACACCGGCGGCUCGAGUGGUAACCGUUAUUAUUGGGUCUAAAGGGUCUGUAGCCGGCCGGAUAAGUCUCUUGGGAAAUCCAGCAGCUCAACUGUUGGGCUUUCAGGAGAUACUGUCUGGCUCGAGGCCGGGAGAGGUGAGAGGUACUUCAGGGGUAGGGGUGAAAUCUUGUAAUCCUUGAAGGACCACCAGUGGCGAAGGCGUCUCACCAGAACGGACCUGACGGCAAGGGACGAAAGCUAGGGGCACGAACCGGAUUAGAUACCCGGGUAGUCCUAGCCGUAAACGAUACUCGCUAGGUGUCGGCCACGGUGCGACCGUUGUCGGUGCCGUAGGGAAGCCGUGAAGCGAGCCACCUGGGAAGUACGGCCGCAAGGCUGAAACUUAAAGGAAUUGGCGGGGGAGCAC
rnacentral:rRNA from 1 species